rnacentral:rRNA from 1 species
GAUGAACGCUGGCGGUAUGCCUAACACAUGCAAGUCGUACGAGAGUUUUUAACUCUAGUGGCGGACGGGUGAGUAACACGUGAGAAUUUGCCUUUAGGAGGGGGACAACAAUUGGAAACGAAUGCUAAUACCCCAUAUGCUUUCGAGUGAAAUGGAUUUUAUCCGCCUAGAGAGAAGCUCGCGGCUGAUUAGCUUGUUGGUAAGGUAAGAGCUUACCAAGGCGACGAUCAGUAUCUGGUUUGAGAGGACGAUCAGACACACUGGAACUGAGACACGGUCCAGACUCCUACGGGAGGCAGCAGUGGGGAAUUUUCCGCAAUGGGCGAAAGCCUGACGGAGCAAUACCGCGUGAGGGAAGAAUGCCUAUGGGUUGUAAACCUCUUUUUUCAGGGUAGGAAUAAAAUGACGUGUACCUGAAGAAUAAGCAAUCGGCUAACUCCGUGC